AUUGAACGCUGGCGGCAGGCCUAACACAUGCAAGUCGAGCGCGCGGCGGACGGGUGAGUAAAGUGUGUGAAGCUGCCUGCUGGAGGGGGAUAACUACUGGAAACGGUAGCUAAUACCGCAUACCCUCAGAUGUGCCCCGAUGGGAUUAGCGAGUAGGUGGGGUAACGGCUCACCUAGGCGACGAUCCCUAGCUGGUCUGAGAGGAUGACCAGCCACACUGGAACUGAGACACGGUCCAGACUCCUACGGGAGGCAGCAGUGGGGAAUAUUGCACAAUGGGCGCAAGCCUGAUGCAGCCAUGCCGCGUGUGUGAAGAAGGCCUGCGGGUUGUAAAGCACUUUCAGCGGGGAGGCGUUACCCGCAGAAGAAGCACCGGCUAACUCCGUGCCAGCCGCCGCGGUAAUAC
rnacentral:rRNA from 1 species